CAAAACUUUCAACAACGGAUCUCUUGGUUCUGGCAUCGAUGAAGAACGCAGCGAAAUGCGAUAAGUAAUGUGAAUUGCAGAAUUCAGUGAAUCAUCGAAUCUUUGAACGCACAUUGCGCCCUCUGGUAUUCCAGAGGGCAUGCCUGUUCGAGCGUCAUU
rnacentral:rRNA from 1 species